rnacentral:rRNA from 1 species
GAUGAACGCUGGCGGCGUGCCUAAUACAUGCAAGUCGAGCGAAUGGAUUAAGAGCUUGCUCUUAUGAAGUUAUCGGCGGACGGGUGAGUAACACGUGGGUAACCUGCCCAUAAGACUGGGAUAACUCCGGGAAACCGGGGCUAAUACCGGAUAACAUUUUGAACCGCAUGGUUCGAAGUUGAAAGGCGGCUUCGGCUGUCACUUAUGGAUGGACCCGCGUCGCAUUAGCUAGUUGGUGAGGUAACGGCUCACCAAGGCAACGAUGCGUAGCCGCCCUGAGAGGGUGAUCGGCCACACUGGGACGGAGACACGGCCCAGACUCCUGCGGGAGGCAGCAGUAGGGAAUCUUCCGCAAUGGACGAAAGUCUGACGGAGCAACGCCGCGUGAGUGAUGAAGGCUUUAGGGUCGUAAAACUCUGUUGUUAGGGAAGAACAAGUGCUAGUUGAAUAAGCUGGCACCUUGACGGUACCUAACCAGAAAGCCAUGGCUAACUACGUGCCAGCCGCCGCGGUAA